CUCUUUGCCUCAAAAGUUUGCCGACCGCUGCUCUAGAAGGUUAACAUAGGCUCUCCACCCCCUACCCUUACUCAAUACGUUCCCGUCGUACGGAUGUCCCUCAAUUAUUCAGAUGUCCAGAUAUCCAGAUGUACAGAUGUCCAAUGUCCCUCAAUUAUCCAAGCUUGGGUAUAAGGGGAAACCUAACCCCUUGGGCUGAUGGAUUGCAUGGCUAAAUUAAGAGGA
rfam:Anopheles gambiae str. PEST chromosome 2L, whole genome shotgun sequence.